AACUAAGUUUGUUAUUGGUAUGAACUUUCGUGUGCAGGCACACUACUUCAGAUACGAAAGCUCAUACCAAUAUCAAACUUAGUUGGUCUCUAAGGUGCUACUGGAAGGAUUUUAAAAAUUUUGUUUUGACUAUGGCAGACCAACACAGUUACCUACCUGUAACUAGAACUAGGUAUCUGAAGAAGUGUGCCUGCACACGAAAGCUCAUACCAAUAACAA